CACGGAGGGAGCUAGCGUUGUUCGGAAUUACUGGGCGUAAAGCGCGCGUAGGCGGCUUUGUAAGUUAGAGGUGAAAGCCCGGGGCUCAACCCCGGAACUGCCUUUAAGACUGCAUCGCUUGAAUCCAGGAGAGGUGAGUGGAACUGCGAGUGUAGAGGUGAAAUUCGUAGAUAUUCGCAAGAACACCAGUGGCGAAGGCGGCUCACUGGCCCGAUACUGACGCUGAGGCACGAAAGCGUGGGGAGCAAACAGG
rnacentral:rRNA from 1 species